UACACACUGAUGCAGUGGCUGUGUCGCCUA
rnacentral:piRNA from 1 species